rnacentral:rRNA from 1 species
CCUACGGGCGGCAGCAGUGGGGAAUAUUGGGCAAUGGAGGCAACUCUGACCCAGCAACGCCGCGUGAAUGAUGAAGGUCUUCGGAUUGUAAAGUUCUUUUCUAAGGGAAGAAGAAAGUGACAGUACCUUAGGAAUAAGCCUCGGCUAACUAAGGGCCAGCAGCCGCGGUAAGACGUAGGAGGCAAGCGUUAUCCGGAAGUACUGGGGGUAAAGGGUGCGUAGGUGGAUUGACAAGUUAGUAGGGAAACUCCGGGGCUCAACUUCGGAACUACUACUAAAACUGUUGGACUUGAGUGCAGGAGGGGCAAUCGGAAUGCCUAGUGUAGCGGUGGAAUGCGUAGAUAUUAGGAAGAACACCGGUGGCGAAGGCAGAUUGCUAGACUGUAACUGACACUGAGGCACGAAAGCGUGGGGAGCAAACAGGAUUAGAUACCCUGGUAGUC